rnacentral:rRNA from 1 species
UUUGACGGCCAAAGCGGUGGGGAAACACCCGGUCCCAUCCCGAACCCGGAAGUUAAGCCCACCUGCGUACUUUCCUGUACUAUGGUGCGCGAGCCCAUGGGAAGGAUACCCCUUUUUGG